rnacentral:rRNA from 1 species
GGGCGCGUAGGCGGUGGGAUAAGCGUGUGGUGAAAGCCCUGGGCUCAACCUGGGAAUGGCAUUGGAAACUGGCUGACUGGAGUGCGGUAGAGGGUAGUGGAAUUCCCGGUGUAGCAGUGAAAUGCGUAGAUAUCGGGAGGAACAUCCGUGGCGAAGGCGACUACCUGGACCAGCACUGACACUGAGGCACGAAAGCGUGGGGAGC